UACGUAGGCAGCAAGCGUUUGUUCGGAAUUACUGGGCGUAAAGAGUGUGUAGGCGGUGCUCUAAGUUCGGUGUGAAAUCUCCCGGCUCAACUGGGAGGGUGCGCCGAAAACUGGGGGUGCUGGAGCGCGGGAGAGGAAAGCGGAAUUCCUGGUGUAGCGGUGAAAUGCGUAGAUAUCAGGAGGAACACCGGUGGCGAAGGCGGCCCCCUGGACCGGUACUGACGCUGAGGCGCGAAAGCGUGGGUAGCAAACGGG
rnacentral:rRNA from 1 species